rnacentral:tRNA from 2 species
GCCACUGUAGCUCAGCUGGUCAGAGCGACGGUUUCGUAAACCGUAGGUCGGGGGUUCGACUCCCUCCAGUGGCU